GGACUACCGGGGUAUCUAAUCCCGUUUGCUCCCCUGGCUUUCGCGCCUCAGCGUCAGAAAGGGUCCAGCACGCCGCUUUCGCCACCGGCGUUCCUUCGGAUAUCUACGCAUUUCACCGCUCCACCCGAAGUUCCGCAUGCCCCUACCCCCCUCAAGAGAUCCAGUAUCGGAGGCGAUUUUCCGGUUGGGCCGAAAGAUUUCACCACCGACUUGAACCCCCGCCUACGCGCCCUUUAAGCCCAGUGAAUCCGAACAACGUUCGCACGGUUCGUCUUACCGCGGCUGCUGGCAC
rnacentral:rRNA from 1 species